AUCAAGGAGGACUUUUUCCACGGAUAUGUUGCGAUGAAUCAUGGAAGGUUUGUCUGCUUCGGUGCUGUGCAGAUAUCCUAGUCCUUUUGCAAUCCCCUUGAUGAUUGAAACUCUUUUGGACCAGUCUAGAACAUGGUUGCUGUUUACUUCAACAUCAAGAUACUGAGAGAGGUUCCCUUUAGAGGCGAAAUCAUAGAUUAAAAAGCACUCACCCCUUCCCUUUGAACAACAGAAACCUCUUAGCUUGACAAGGUUUUCAUGCUUAAGGGAGGUU
rnacentral:misc_RNA from 1 species